CAGCUAUUAGCUUUACAAAACGUAGAAACGAAGAAAACUUGUCCGGUGGACUAGAUAGGUGUUUCCUACUACGAGCAUUGCUGCCAACUGUCAUGAAGUCCUCACAUUGUAGCGAGAUGAGACUUGAAGGAGCUACAUUUCGACCAGAAAUGGGAACACAAGAGUCUCUAUUAAUACCACCUGAGGGGACGCUGUGCUGUGGAGGUUCUCAAGCUUCUCUCCUCUCCUCCCUCAAGCAGGACUAUCGCUCACUGACCUGCAGGUCAGCUCCUUCAUUGCUAAAGCCUGAAGAUGGGAGACUUCAAGGACGUGGUUAGGCAGGAUGUUUGAGCUACUGUGAACACGAUGAACAAAAUGUAUCCUGACAGCAAAAGUCUUCCCUCCAUAAUGUGUGGGAGAGCUCCAUCCUGAGAGCUGGCUAUGCCUAUCAUCGUGACCCAAAUCCUGCUGUGAUGCUACAUCCCACAUUCUAUCUGGGGACUUGAACUCCAGCGUGCAGGCUUCUGCACAGAUGGAUGAGGUGUUGGACCAGAGCAGCAUGUCAGAUGAUGAUCAACAACAUCAACAGUGCUGCAGCUGCAUGUCAUUCACCGCACGGAAAUUGAUGACCACUGAGUUCCCUGUGAAGACCUCAUGCAGCGCUACAGCUGUAGAGGGGGGGGGGGGGGGUCCAGUUUUACUACAAUAAUCUUACAUUUAGACUUUACUGUCAUCAAUGCAAAAACAUGUUCCAGACACACAUUGUAGGGAUUAUGCACAACACUAUCAUAUGUAGCUCUAAUAGUCCUUGUCAUAGCAUCCAACGGUUCAUUAAUCCCUUUGAGUCGGAGCAGUCGCGUACAUCACAGUAAUGGCUUUUACUGAGGCUGUUUUGCAGAGGUGACUGGAAUCCUCUGAAGGAUUGCAGGUUUUGUGAUUGCCUUGCGUCAUCAGAGGCCACAGCUCAUCUUAAAUAUCUGCAUGUUUCCUGUGGUUCUGUCAGCCAGCUCAGGCCUGAUGAUGUGUGCUGGGAUGGGCAAUGACAAGAUAUUCACAUCAUGAUAGUCGUAUGCCUAAGUAAUAAAAACCCUGUUUAACCUGUGCACAAUGUUCUCUACAAGGUAGUCUGCAAAAAGUGAAUAGCCAGCGUGACCCUCGUCAAGAUCCUGCUGGUCAGCUGCAAACCUGUUAACACAGAAUUUCACGACGCGAACUCAGACCCUUAAAGAUCAGAUGUAGUUGUCAGGGGUGUUAUUACCCCUGACAACCUUAUUAGAAAGAUUAUUAUUAUUAUUAUUAUUAUUAUUAUUAUUACUGAAAUAUCAAAACCUUUUUAUAUCACUGUAUGUGUGUUUUGUCAUUUCACAAAAUAAAAAUGUA